rnacentral:piRNA from 1 species
UUCCUGUGUUCAUUGAUUCAUAAUUGC